rnacentral:rRNA from 1 species
CAGCCGCCGCGGGAAUACGAAGGGGGCUAGCGUUGCUCGGAAUUACUGGGCGUAAAGGGAGCGUAGGCGGACAUUUAAGUCAGGGGUGAAAUCCCAGAGCUCAACUCUGGAACUGCCUUUGAUACUGGGUGUCUUGAGUGUGAUAGAGGUAUGUGGAACUCCGAGUGUAGAGGUGAAAUUCGUAGAUAUUCGGAAGAACACCAGUGGCGAAGGCGACAUACUGGAUCAUUACUGACGCUGAGGCUCGAAAGCGUGGGGAGCAAACAGGAUUAGAUACCCCCGUAGUCCCUGUCUCUUAUAC